rnacentral:rRNA from 1 species
UGUGGAAUUUUGCACAAUGGUCGAAACCCUGAUGCAGCGACGCCGCGUGAUUUAGAAGGCCUUCGGGUUGUAAAAAUCUUUUCUAUGGGAAGAAAAUGACAGUACCAUAGGAAUAAGGACCGGCUAAUUACGUGCCAGCAGCCGCGGUAAUACGUAAGGUCCGAGCGUUGUCCGGAAUCAUUGGGCGUAAAGGGUACGUAGGCGGGUAAGCAAGUUAGAAGUGAAAUCCUAUAGCUCAACUAUAGUAAGCUUUUAAAACUGCUCAUCUUGAGGUAUGGAAGGGAAAGUAGAAUUCCUAGUGUAGCGGUGAAAUGCGCAGAUAUUAGGAGGAGUACCGGUGGCGAAGGCGACUUUCUGGCCAUAACCUGACGCUGAGGUACGAAAGCGUGGGUAGCAAACAGG